GCCUGUUUGGUUCAGUGGGUAGAGCGUCGGCCUGUGGACUGAAGGGUCCCGGGUUCGAUUCCCGUUAGGGGCA
rnacentral:tRNA from 1 species